rnacentral:rRNA from 1 species
UACGAAGGGAGCUAGCGUUGUUCGGAAUUACUGGGCGUAAAGGGCGCGUAGGCGGUUCGACAAGUUGGAUGUGAAAGCCCAGGGCUCAACCCUGGAAUUGCAUUCAAGACUGUUUUACUUGAAUUCGGUAGAGGUGAGUGGAAUUCCCAGUGUAGAGGUGAAAUUCGUAGAGAUUGGGAAGAACACCGGUGGCGAAGGCGGCUCACUGGGCCAGCACUGACGCUGAGGCGCGAAAGCUCGGGGAGCGAACGGG